UCGUCUGUGUUUGUAAGAUUUUUUUUCAUUUUGGUUUUAAUUCGUAUUUAAUUAUUUCAGGCCUAUUUACAGAGAAGAGCAAGUAGUGAUAACUAGACCAAACAAUCACACGAUUGUCAGCCAUAAGUUCCCCCCGCCAUCAGAAAGGAUUAUUAAUUACACAUCGUUAUUUGACAAGACAUUUUUACAUUUACUUUUAGAUUUUCAAAACAGCGUUAGAAAUAUUACUAUAAACAUUGAAAACAAGGAAUUUGGAUUGAAGGACAUUUGCUACAGGCCACAUUAUGGUAGUGACUCCUGUGCUGUUUUCAGCAUCCUUGAAUACUGGCAAAGUAAUCACUCAGCCCUAGAUAAAGUAAGAAUGGAUGAAUAUGGAUUUGUCGUCCUUGCGGAUUAUUUGGAUCAUUUUUUUUCUUGUGCAGUCAAAGAAAAAGAUACUGUAGGACUAAACUUGUCUUGCAAGUCAACUGCAAAUGAAGCAAUUUAUCCGAAUAUGGUUCUGGCCGGCUAUGGAGGUGGAAAUCAAGAGCAACAUUUCAACAGUUCUACUGCUUUCAUCAUAACAUUUUUAGUGCAGAAUUAUCAGGAUAAUCGCAUAAAUGAUGUUUCACGUGCGUGGGAAAGGGAGUUAAGAAGAUUUGUGCACAACUUCCACAGUCCUAACAUGACCUUGUCUGUAAAGACGCCUUCCUUCUGAAGACUUUAGUCGUUUCAAUGUUUAUUUGUAACACAAAGUAGUAAAACUUGUUAUGUAUACAGGUUAGAAAACGCCAGCAUGAAUUAAUACAUACAUGUAUAUGCACUAGAAAAAAUUGCUAACGCACCACUUGUUAAUUGAACAUUUACCUUAUUGGGCGGCGCUACAGUAAAAAUGCAUUAAUUUUUUGAAAAUCUUUUUCUCUGCUCCUAAGUAUUUAGCACAUAAUGGAAAUGCAUUAAUUCUUUGAAAUUCUUCCUCUCUGCACCUGGAAAUAUAGCAGGUAAACUAAGUGCAUGGUUAUGAUGACCCCUGGGUCAGUGGGUUCGGGUUCUGGUGUUAGGGCGGGGCUAUAUUGAAAAUGCAUUAAUUUUUUGAUUUGAUGCUUUUUGAGAAAUUUUGAAAUUCAUAACCCCUGAGUCAAAGGUUUUGGUGCUGGGUGGGGCUCUUUUGAAUAUAUAGUAAAAAAUGAAUUAUUGCUUUGAAAAUCUUCUUUUCUGCCCAUGGGUUUUUAGCUAACAUAUUAAGUGCAUGGUUAUGAUGAGCAAGGGUGCCUCUUCCGAAAUAGUGAAUUUCUUGGCCCCUGUGUGAGGGGUUCUGGUGUUAGGUUGGUGCUAUGUCGAAUUUAUAGUGAAAAUACAUUAUUUCUUUGAAAAUCUUCCCUGCAUCCAGGAGGCAAGCAGAGAAUAUAAAGUUGUAAUAAGCAAGGAUAUUUUUACCAGAUUUUUGAAAGUCUGGUCACUUGGUCAAUUUAUUACUUUGUAUUCUACUGAAAAGUUACUCCCCUUUGCUAUUCACCUAUGAUGAUUAAUCACUGCUGAUAUAAUCAAAACAUGUAAGAGGUAAAAUGAAUAACAGA